rnacentral:rRNA from 1 species
CCCUUAGAUGUUCUGGGCCGCACGCGCGCUACACUGAUGCAUUCAACGAGUCCAUCCUUGACCGAGAGGUCCGGGUAAUCUUUGAAACUGCAUCGUGAUGGGGCUAGAUUAUUGCAAUUACUAAUCUUCAACGAGGAAUGCCUAGUAAGCGUGAUUCAUCAAAUCGCGUUGAUUACGUCCCUGCCCUUUGUACACACCGCCCGUCGCUCCUACCGAUUGAGUGUGUUGGUGAGGAGUUUGGAUUGGCCUCGGAAGGUGGUUCGCCACCGUCCGUAGCUGAGAAGUUCUCCAAACCGCCCCACUUAGAGGAAGGAGAAGUCGUAACA